rnacentral:rRNA from 1 species
AACGUAGGACGCAAGCGUUAUCCGGAGUUACUGGGCGUAAAGCGCACGCAGGCGGUCGCGCGCGUGGGGUGUGAAAUCUGGCCGCUUAACGGCCAGGCGCCAUCCCAUACGGCGCGACUGGAGUGAUGCAGAGGUCGAUGGAAUUGCCGGUGUAGUGGUGAAAUGCGUAGAGAUCGGCAGGAACACCCAGGGGGAAACCAGUCGACUGGGCAUCUACUGACGCUGAGGUGCGAGAGCGUGGGGAGCGAACCGG